rnacentral:misc_RNA from 1 species
GAAAUGCGAUAAGUAAUGUGAAUUGCAGAAUUCAGUGAAUCAUCGAAUCUUUGAACGCACCUUGCGCUCCUUGGUAUUUCUUGGAGCAUGCCUGUUUGAGUAUCAUGAAAUCUUCAAAGUAAAUCUUUUGUUAACUCAAUUGGUUUCUACUUUGGUAUUGGAGGUCUUUGCAGCUUCACACCUGCUCCUCUUUGUUCAUUAGCUGGAUCUCAGUGUUAUGCUUGGUUCCACUCGGCGUGAUAAGUUAUCUAUCGCUGAGGACACUGUAAAAGGUGGCCAAGGUAAAUGCAGAUGAACCGCUUCUAAUAGUCCAUUGACUUGGACAAUACUUUUAUGAUCUGAUCUCAAAUCAGGUAGGACUACCCGCUGAACUUAAGC